UUGCUUUCUUUUCAAUCUGUACCUUCCCGGUAAUUUCCUCGCUAUCAUGAUUUUUCCAUUUCCCAUCUCCUGUAUUUCAGAUAUAAUUCUAGAAUAUAGCUUCAAAAUAAAGGUUAAUUGACAUAUCAUAAUUUGUCAACUUAUCAAGUAAACAAUUUCAGCUUAGGCAAGUCACACACUAGCGAAGUAUAUAACUCGUCUCUCCCCUCCUAGUUCUAGACACUUAUCUCCGCCAGCGACCAUAUUCCUACGCUCUGAUACCAAAUGUUACGCCCCCAAAAUUAGGUAUACAUGACCCAUUCUGAGUCGUCAGAUACAUGGUACAAAAUUCAAAUACAACUUCAUUUAUACAACUGUUGAGUUGUCGUAUAGAAUACGACCA
rnacentral:lncRNA from 1 species